rnacentral:lncRNA from 1 species
CGGCGUUUUGCAUUUGCGCCGAUCUGCAUUUCAUUUGCGCCGAUUUUUUCUUUCAUUUGCGCUGAUUUUUUUUUUCAUUUGCGCCGAUUUUUUUACAGGUAAAUUACAGGUGAAUAGAUAUAAGAAGAUGUGGUAUGAGUGCCAAUGAGACAACUCUCUAACAAAGUCAUGUUAUUUUUCAUUUAUUAUUAUAGACGUCUUCGGUUAGCCACUUGUACAAAUGAAAUGAAUUGUCAAUCAUAACAUGUAUA